GAGGCGGUAGCUCAGUUGGUUAGAGCGUCAGUUUGUGGCACUGAAGGCCGAGGGUUCGAGACCCUUUCGCCUCC
rnacentral:tRNA from 1 species